rnacentral:misc_RNA from 1 species
GAUGAAGAACGUAGCAAAAUGCGAUAAGUAAUGUGAAUUGCAGAAUUCAGUGAAUCAUCGAAUCUUUGAACGCACAUUGCGCCCGCCAGUAUUCUGGCGGGCAUGCCUGUUCGAGCGUCAUUUCAACCCUCAAGCACAGCUUGGUGUUGGGACUCGCGUUAAUUCGCGUUCCUCAAAUUGAUUGGCGGUCACGUCGAGCUUCCAUAGCGUAGUAGUAAAACCCUCGUUACUGGUAAUCGUCGCAGCCACGCCGUUAAACCCCAACUUCUGAAUGUUGACCUCGGAUCAGGUAGGAAUACCCGCUGAACUUAAGCAUAUCAAUAAGCGGAGGA